rnacentral:rRNA from 1 species
UACGUAGGGUGCAAGCGUUAAUCGGAAUUACUGGGCGUAAAGCGUGCGCAGGCGGCUUUGCAAGACAGAUGUGAAAUCCCCGGGCUUAACCUGGGAACUGCAUUUGUGACUGCAUGGCUGGAGUGCGGCAGAGGGGGAUGGAAUUCCGCGUGUAGCAGUGAAAUGCGUAGAUAUGCGGAGGAACACCGAUGGCGAAGGCAAUCCCCUGGGCCUGCACUGACGCUCAUGCACGAAAGCGUGAGGAGCAAACAGG